UACAGAGGUCUCAAGCGUUGUUCGGAUUCAUUGGGCGUAAAGGGUGUGUAGGUGGCGCCGUAAGUCGGGUGUGAAAUUUCGAGGCUUAACCUCGAAACUGCAUUCGAUACUGCCGUGCUUGAGGACUGGAGAGGAGACUGGAAUUUACGGUGUAGCGGUGAAAUGCGUAGAUAUCGUAAGGAAGACCAGUGGCGAAGGCGGGUCUCUGGACAGUUCCUGACGCUGAGGCACGAAGGCCAGGGGAGCAAACGGG
rnacentral:rRNA from 1 species